rnacentral:rRNA from 1 species
UACAGAGGGUGCGAGCGUUGUUCGGAAUUACUGGGCGUAAAGGGCGCGUAGGCGGUUCGAUAAGUCCCGUGUGAAAUCCCUCGGCUCAACUGAGGAACUGCACGGGAAACUGACGGGCUUGAGUUCGGGAGAGGGAAGCGGAAUUCCGGGUGUAGCGGUGAAAUGCGUAGAUAUCCGGAGGAACACCGGUGGCGAAGGCGGCUUCCUGGACCGACACUGACGCUGAGGCGCGAAAGCUAGGGGAGCAAACGGG